rnacentral:rRNA from 1 species
UGGGGAAUCUUGCGCAAUGGGCGAAAGCCUGACGCAGCCAUGCCGCGUGAAUGAUGAAGGUCUUAGGAUUGUAAAAUUCUUUCACCGGGGACGAUAAUGACGGUACCCGGGAGAAGAAAGCCCCGGCUAACUUCGUGCCAGCAGCCGCGGUAAUACGAAAGGGGGGCCUAGCGUUUGCUCGGAAUUACUGGGGCGUAAAGGGAGCGUAGGCGGACAUUUAAGUCAGGGGUGAAAUCCCGGGGCUCAACCUCGGAAUUGCCUUUGAUACUGGGUGUCUUGAGUGUGAGAGAGGUAUGUGGAACUCCGAGUGUAGAGGUGAAAUUCGUAGAUAUUCGGAAGAACACCAGUGGCGAAGGCGACAUACUGGCUCAUUACUGACGCUGAGGCUCGAAAGCGU